rnacentral:rRNA from 1 species
GAAUAUUGGACAAUGGGGGGAACCCUGAUCCAGCCACGCCGCGUGUGUGAAGAAGGCCUUUUGGUUGUAAAGCACUUUAAGCGAGGAGGAUGCUACCGGGAUUAGUACUUUAGGAGAGUGGACGUUACUCGCCGAAGAAGCACAGGCUAACUCCGUUCCAGCAGCCGCGGUAAUACAGAGGGUGCGAGCGUUAAUAUGAUUUACUGGGCGUAAAGCGUGCGUAGGCGGCCAAUUAAGUCAAAUGUGAAAUCCCCGAGCUUAACUUGGGAAUUGCAUUCGAUACUGGUUGGGUAGAGUAUGGGAGAGGAUGGUAGAAUUCCAGGUGUAGCGGUGAAAUGCGUAGAGAUCUGGAGGAAUACCGAUGGCGAAGGCAGCCAUCUGGCCUAAUACUGACGCUGAGGUACGAAAGCAUGGGGAGCAAACAG